rnacentral:rRNA from 2 species
AGAGUUUGAAAUCUGGCUCAGGACGAACGCUGGCGGCGUGCCUAAUACAUGCAAGUCGAACGAACUCUGGUAUUGAUUGGUGCUUGCAUCAUGAUUUACAUUUGAGUGAGUGGCGAACUGGUGAGUAACACGUGGGAAACCUGCCCAGAAGCGGGGGAUAACACCUGGAAACAGAUGCUAAUACCGCAUAACAACUUGGACCGCAUGGUCCGAGUUUGAAAGAUGGCUUCAGCUAUCACUUUUGGAUGGUCCCGCGGCGUAUUAGCUAGAUGGUGGGGUAACGGCUCACCAUGGCAAUGAUACGUAGCCGACCUGAGAGGGUAAUCGGCCACAUUGGGACUGAGACACGGCCCAAACUCCUACGGGAGGCAGCAGUAGGGAAUCUUCCACAAUGGACGAAAGUCUGAUGGAGCAACGCCGCGUGAGUGAAGAAGGGUUUCGGCUCGUAAAACUCUGUUGUUAAAGAAGAACAUAUCUGAGAGUAACUGUUCAGGUAUUGACGGUAUUUAACCAGAAAGCCACGGCUAACUACGUGCCAGCAGCCGCGGUAAUACGUAGGUGGCAAGCGUUGUCCGGAUUUAUUGGGCGUAAAGCGAGCGCAGGCGGUUUUUUAAGUCUGAUGUGAAAGCCUUCGGCUCAACCGAAGAAGUGCAUCGGAAACUGGGAAACUUGAGUGCAGAAGAGGACAGUGGAACUCCAUGUGUAGCGGUGAAAUGCGUAGAUAUAUGGAAGAACACCAGUGGCGAAGGCGGCUGUCUGGUCUGUAACUGACGCUGAGGCUCGAAAGUAUGGGUAGCAAACAGGAUUAGAUACCCUGGUAGUCCAUACCGUAAACGAUGAAUGCUAAGUGUUGGAGGGUUUCCGCCCUUCAGUGCUGCAGCUAACGCAUUAAGCAUUCCGCCUGGGGAGUACGGCCGCAAGGCUGAAACUCAAAGGAAUUGACGGGGGCCCGCACAAGCGGUGGAGCAUGUGGUUUAAUUCGAAGCUACGCGAAGAACCUUACCAGGUCUUGACAUACUAUGCAAAUCUAAGAGAUUAGACGUUCCCUUCGGGGACAUGGAUACAGGUGGUGCAUGGUUGUCGUCAGCUCGUGUCGUGAGAUGUUGGGUUAAGUCCCGCAACGAGCGCAACCCUUAUUAUCAGUUGCCAGCAUUAAGUUGGGCACUCUGGUGAGACUGCCGGUGACAAACCGGAGGAAGGUGGGGAUGACGUCAAAUCAUCAUGCCCCUUAUGACCUGGGCUACACACGUGCUACAAUGGAUGGUACAACGAGUUGCGAACUCGCGAGAGUAAGCUAAUCUCUUAAAGCCAUUCUCAGUUCGGAUUGUAGGCUGCAACUCGCCUACAUGAAGUCGGAAUCGCUAGUAAUCGCGGAUCAGCAUGCCGCGGUGAAUACGUUCCCGGGCCUUGUACACACCGCCCGUCACACCAUGAGAGUUUGUAACACCCAAAGUCGGUGGGGUAACCUUUUAGGAACCAGCCGCCUAAGGUG